rnacentral:tRNA from 1 species
UAUAUUAAAGUGUAUGAUGCACAUUAGUUUUUGAUACUAAAGGAGUUAGUUUAAUUCUAACUUAUAUAA